UAGGGAAUCUUCGGCAAUGGACGGAAGUCUGACCGAGCAACGCCGCGUGAGUGAAGAAGGUUUUCGGAUCGUAAAGCUCUGUUGUUAGAGAAGAACGUUGGUAGGAGUGGAAAAUCUACCAAGUGACGGUAACUAACCAGAAAGGGACGGCUAACUACGUGCCAGCAGCCGCGGUAAUACGUAGGUCCCGAGCGUUGUCCGGAUUUAUUGGGUGUAAAGCGAGCGCAGGCGGUUCUUUAAGUCUGAAGUUAAAGGCAGUGGCUUAACCAUUGUACGCUUUGGAAACUGGAGGACUUGAGUGCAGAAGGGGAGAGUGGAAUUCCAUGUGUAGCGGUGAAAUGCGUAGAUAUAUGGAGGAACACCGGCGGCGAAAGCGGCUCUCUGGUCUGUAACUGACGCUGAGGCUCGAAAGCGUGGGGAGCAAACAGG
rnacentral:rRNA from 1 species